CCUACGGGGGACAGCAGUGAGGAAUAUUGGUCAAUGGACGAGAGUCUGAACCAGCCAAGUAGCGUGAAGGAUGACUGCCCUAUGGGUUGUAAACUUCUUUUAUAUGGGAAUAAAAUGUUCCACGUGUGGGAUUUUGUAUGUACCAUAUGAAUAAGGAUCGGCUAACUCCGUGCCAGCAGCCGCGGUAAUACGGAGGAUCCGAGCGUUAUCCGGAUUUAUUGGGUUUAAAGGGAUCGUAGGUGGAUUGUUAAGUCAGUUGUGAAAGUUUGCGGCUCAACCGUAAAAUUGCAGUUGAAACUGGCAGUCUUGAGUACAGUAGAGGUGGGCGGAAUUCGUGGUGUAGCGGUGAAAUGCUUAGAUAUCACGAAGAACUCCGAUUGCGAAGGCAGUUCACUGGACUGCAACUGACACUGAGGCUCGAAAGUGUGGGUAUCAAACAGGAUUAGAUACCCGUGUAGUC
rnacentral:rRNA from 1 species